rnacentral:tRNA from 1 species
GGCCCCAUCGUCUAGUGGUUAAGGACGUCAGCUUCUCAAGCUGAAAACACGGGUUCGACUCCCGUAAGGGCCG